UACGGGGGGAGCAAGCGUUGUUCGGAUUUACUGGGCGUAAAGGGCGCGUAGGCGGCCUGGUAAGUAGGGGGUGAAAUCCUGCGGCUUAACCGCAGGGCUGCCUUCUAAACUGUCAGGCUCGAGCACGGUAGAGGCAGAUGGAAUUCCCGGUGUAGCGGUGGAAUGCGUAGAGAUCGGGAAGAACAUCAGUGGCGAAGGCGGUCUGCUGGGCCGUUGCUGACGCUGAGGCGCGACAGCGUGGGGAGCAAACAGG
rnacentral:rRNA from 1 species